rnacentral:rRNA from 1 species
AUUGAACGCUGCGACAGGCUUAACACAUGCAAGUCGAGCGAGAGGGGAACGGGUGAGUACUGAUUAGGAAUCUGCAUCUUAGUGGGGGACAACAUCUCGGGAGGGAAGAUAAUACAGCAUACUAAUAGAGGAGCCUAAGGCGGAUUAGCUGGUUGGUCGGGUAAAGGCCUACCAAGGCGACGAGCUGUAGCGGGUCUGAGAGGAUGAUCCGCCACACUGGGACUGAGACACGGCCCAGACUCCUACGGGAGGCAGCAGUGGGGAAUAUUGGACAAUGGGGGGAACCCUGAUCCAGCCAUGCCGCGUGUGUGAAGAAGGCCUUAUGGUUGUAAAGCACUUUAAGCGAGGAGGCGUUACUCGCAGAAUAAGCACCGGCUAACUCUGUGCCAGCAGCCACGGUAAUAC